rnacentral:rRNA from 1 species
GAGUUUGAUCCUGGCUCAGAUUGAACGCUGGCGGCAGGCUUAACACAUGCAAGUCGAACGGUAACAUGAGUGCUUGCACUUGAUGACGAGUGGCGGACGGGUGAGUAAAGUAUGGGGAUCUGCCGAAUGGAGGGGGACAACAGUUGGAAACGACUGCUAGUACCGCAUAAAGUUGAGAGACCAAAGCAUGGGACUUACGGGCCAUGCGCCAUUUGAUGAACCCAUAUGGGAUUAGCUAGUUGGUAGGGUAAUGGCUUACCAAGGCGACGAUCUCUAGCUGGUCUGAGAGGAUGACCAGCCACACUGGAACUGAGACACGGUCCAGACUCCUACGGGAGGCAGCAGUGGGGAAUAUUGCACAAUGGGGGGAACCCUGAUGCAGCCAUGCCGCGUGUAUGAAGAAGGCCUUCGGGUUGUAAAGUACUUUCGGUAACGAGGAAGGUGGUGUAUCUAAUAGGUGCAUCAAUUGACGUUAAUUACAGAAGAAGCACCGGCUAACUCCGUGCCAGCAGCCGCGGUAAUACGGAGGGUGCGAGCGUUAAUCGGAAUGACUGGGCGUAAAGGGCAUGUAGGCGGAUAAUUAAGUUAGGUGUGAAAGCCCUGGGCUCAACCUAGGAAUUGCACUUAAAACUGGUUAACUAGAGUAUUGUAGAGGAAGGUAGAAUUCCACGUGUAGCGGUGAAAUGCGUAGAGAUGUGGAGGAAUACCGGUGGCGAAGGCGGCCUUCUGGACAGAUACUGACGCUGAGAUGCGAAAGCGUGGGGAGCAAACAGGAUUAGAUACCCUGGUAGUCCACGCUGUAAACGAUGUCGAUUUGGAGUUUGUUGCCUAGAGUGAUGGGCUCCGAAGCUAACGCGAUAAAUCGACCGCCUGGGGAGUACGGCCGCAAGGUUAAAACUCAAAUGAAUUGACGGGGGCCCGCACAAGCGGUGGAGCAUGUGGUUUAAUUCGAUGCAACGCGAAGAACCUUACCUGGUCUUGACAUCCACAGAAUCUUGCAGAGAUGCGAGAGUGCCUUCGGGAACUGUGAGACAGGUGCUGCAUGGCUGUCGUCAGCUCGUGUUGUGAAAUGUUGGGUUAAGUCCCGCAACGAGCGCAACCCUUAUCCUUUGUUGCCAUUGGUUCGGCCGGGAACUCAAAGGAAACUGCCGUUGAUAAAGCGGAGGAAGGUGGGGACGACGUCAAGUCAUCAUGGCCCUUACGACCAGGGCUACACACGUGCUACAAUGGCGUAUACAAAGGGAGGCGA